GUACAUGAAAUUAUCUUUUAUUAUCUUAGCAUCUUGUGAGGCUGUCUGGAGGUCGUUGCUAUAUGUUUCUGUUGCCGGGGCGGUGAAUGGUUUUUCCUUGGUUGUGUCAUUCCUAUGCUCGUUGGGUCUUUGUUUUGGCGUUCUGGUGGUCACUCCUAUAUGGGCCGCUUGUUGUCGGGUGUUGACGUGCUUGACUGUUAUCUUCUGAACGCUUUGCCUUUCCCAGUCUUCUCUUUUGUCUUUCUCAUUCCUGGGCUUGUUAAGGAUGGUUGGGGCUCUAUAAUGGGUUGGUUUUUUGUUGGCUAUUCUUGCUAUGUUCUUGGUGGGCUUAGGCUUGCUGGGGGUGUACAGUGUGGGCGGGUGUUCUUCUUUUUGGGAGUGGCUUGUGCUUGGCUUGGUUGUUCUGGGUGACUCUGUUUGUGAUGCCUGUUGGACUUUGUGAUGGAUGUCUUUUGUGAAGUUUUCCUAUAACCGUGUUGGUGGCUGGCUGGCUUUGUAAAUGUAUUUUGUUUCACUUUCUGGGUCUUGUUGGUUGGUGGAUUGUAGAGGUGUUCUUCUGAAAGGAGAUCUAAAUGCUGCUUUUUUUG
rnacentral:lncRNA from 1 species